rnacentral:tRNA from 1 species
GCCUUCGUGGUGUAACGGUAGUACAUUUGGCGCGUAUUCGAGAGGUCCAGGUUCCAGUCCUGGCAAAGGCA